UACAGAGGAGCCAAGCGUUGUCCGGAUUGACUGGGCGUAAAGCGCACGCAGGCGGACGCGCGCGUGGGGUGUGAAAUCUGGCCGCUUAACGGCCAGGCGCCAUCCCAUACGGCGCGACUGGAGUGAUGCAGAGGUCGAUGGAAUUGCCGGUGUAGUGGUGAAAUGCGUAGAGAUCGGCAGGAACACCCAGGGGGAAACCAGUCGACUGGGCAUCUACUGACGCUGAGGUGCGAGAGCGUGGGGAGCGAACCGG
rnacentral:ncRNA from 2 species